CGGGACGGGUGAGUAAUGUCUGGGAAACUGCCUGAUGGAGGGGGAUAACUGCUGGAAACGGUAGCUAAUACCGCAUAACGUCGCAAGACCAAAGAGGGGGACCUUCGGGCCUCUUGCCACCGGAUGUGCCCAGAUGGGAUUAGCUAGUAGGUGGGGUAACGGCUCACCUAGGCGACGAUCCCUAGCUGGUCUGAGAGGAUGACCAGCCACACUGGAACUGAGACACGGUCCAG
rnacentral:rRNA from 1 species